UGAUGAAACCGUUCAGGGGUAAACCUGAGAAACCCAAAAGAUCGAAUGAGGAGAUUCAUCGUCAGCUCGGUUGGCUUGCGUGUGGCUCGCGAUUCUCGUUGCUUCGGCGGCGGGGACGCGGUCGCUGCGUCAUGUCCGAUCGAGUCGGCGUGCACUUCUCCCCUAGUAGGACGUCGCGACCCGUUGGGUGUCGGUCCACGGCCCGUAUGGUCGCCCGUUUGUGCAGCUCGCUGCUCGACGGACCUUCGGUCGCCCGGCCGACUGCCCGGCGGUAUAGAUCGCUAUUCGAAUGGUAUUGAGCCGCACUAAGUGCGUUCCUGGCUCGUUGGCAGGCAGGCCUCGCUCGGAUUUACGGACCUAGUGCCGUUGUCGGGCGCUUGGCAGGCCGUUAGUCGACGAUGUCCUCGGACGGGCUCUUAAACGUUCUUCAUUGGACGCUUACCGGUCGGCGACGCUACUGCUUUGGGUACUUUCAGGACCCGUCUUGAAACACGGCAAGGGGGAGUCUA
rnacentral:rRNA from 1 species